UUUUGAAAACCCACCGUGCCGCACGCUGGAAUCACGAGUGCGGAAAUACAACUUACGUUCCGCUGUUUCUGUCGUGUUUUUGUUUUUUCUUCCAGCUGUUUUAAAGUCUACCAACGGCAAAGAUAGCAAAGACGCUAACUCGACUCGAAGGAUGGCUUGGGAGGGGAGACUCACCUUCCUCUUCUUCUUCUCCAUGCUUCUCAUGCUAUCACAUGUGUGCGACUGUCAUCCUCACUCUGCUCGAUGCAUGAAUUCAACAUGUGCUACCACGAAAACAUCAAAUAAUACUGCAAAAAAAGCUUCAGACAUCACAGCAGAGGUCGCCGGCUAUGCUGAUGUGGCCAAACAGAUCAUUGACUUGGCUGUGUUCGGUGCCGCCCAGAACCGCUCCUACAGACGACUGGCCGACUUCACAGACACCAUCGGGAACCGUGUCAGUGGUUCGCAAAACCUGGAGUUGGCUAUUAAAUACAUGUUCAACGCCUUAAUGCAGGACGGGCUGGAUGUGCAUCUGGAGCCAGUCAAAGUCCCACACUGGGUGAGAGGGAAGGAGAGUGCAGAGAUGAUUGCACCCAGGGCCAAGAGUCUGGCCAUACUGGGGCUAGGUAGCAGUGUUGGAACACCCCCUGAAGGUAUAGAGGCAGAGGUGUUGGUAGUCCAGUCUUUUGAAGAACUGAAGCGCAGAUCCAGCGAAGCCAUGGGGAGGAUCGUAGUUUUUAACCAGCCGUUUGUCAGCUACGGAGAGACGGUGGCUUAUCGAGCUUUUGGUGCCUCUGAGGCAGCCAAAGUGGGAGCUGUGGCCACGCUCAUUCGAUCCAUCACCCCAUUCUCGAUUAACAGUCCCCACACAGGUUGGCAGGACUACCAAGAUGGAGUGAGGCGAAUCCCGACAGCCUGCAUCACUGUGGAGGAUGCAGAGCUGAUGUGGCGAAUGGCACAAAGGGGCCAGAAGAUUGUGGUCAGACUCACAAUGGAAGCUAAAACUCUGCCGGACGCUGACUCUUUCAACACAGUGGCUGAGAUAAGAGGCUGGCAGCACCCUGAGCAGGUCGUCUUACUGAGCGGUCAUUUGGACAGUUGGGAUGUGGGCCAGGGUGCCAUGGAUGAUGGAGGUGGAGCCAUGAUUUCCUGGGAGGCCCUGUCACUCAUCAAAGACCUGGGUUUACGUCCAAGAAGGACUUUGCGGACCGUGCUGUGGACGGCUGAAGAGCAAGGUGGAGUUGGUGCUCAGCAGUACUAUAAUCUACACAAGGUGAACAUGGCCAACUUUGACCUUGUCAUGGAGUCUGACGUGGGGACAUUCACCCCAGUCGCGCUGCAGUUUACUGGUAGUGACGCAGCCAGAAAGGUGAUGGAAGAAGUGGUCAAACUUCUGGCUCCCAUUAACACGACCAAACUGGAGGCUCAUGGUGAAGGAACAGACAUCUCACCGUGGAUGCAGGCCGGAGUUCCAGGUGCCAGCCUCCACGUGGCUGACAGUCGCUACUUUUGGUUCCACCACAGUGAAGGCGACACCAUGACGGUCCAGGACCCUGGAGACAUGAACCUCUGCUCGGCAUUGUGGGCCGUGGUUUCCUACGUGGUGGCCGACCUGCAGGACAUGCUGCCCAGUUUCUGCAAAAAAAGAGGAAGAUGAGACGAGGUGACGACAAAUGACAUGUAUACAUCCAGUUCAUAGAAAGGAGAAGAAAAAAGAGGAAUAAAGAAGCAGGACGAAGCAAGAUGGUGUGAAGAGAAGAACCGAAUUUAGAAGAAGAAGAUCAUACAGUGGAGGAGAGGAAGUGAAGAGAAUUAAUCACUUUGCGGGCGAUAUGGCGACCAUCACAGCAGCUACAACAAACACACACACAGCUGGGAUGUGUUACCCCGUGAACUGAUAAGUCAGCACUCCCAGCGGGUGAUGUCAAGACUGGUUGUAGCAGAUGUCUGCCCUCCCCGAGCCUGGCUCUGCUGGCGGUUUCUUCCUGUUUGAAGGGAGGUUUUUUUCUUCUCUUGGCCACUAUUGGGAAUAGUUUGGAUUUGUUGGAUUUUCUGUCUCUAAAAUAAUAUUUAAAAAGGUCUUCACUUAGUAUGUGAAGUGCUCUGAAGCACUGUUCCCUCUAAGCUGCGCAAUUGCGCACUGCUGACACGGUCUCCGUGCACAGAAAAUCUGCACUGCGCACAAAAAAAAAAAAAAUCCAACCUAAAUUGUAAAUAAAAUAAACACGUAACAAUUCAUUCUGUGCUAUUUUUCAGUGUGAGUCAGUGAGUGACCGGUGACUGGCUGCUGCAGCCAAUGAUGCGAUUCACAUACGUAUUUACCAUAGACUGUAUAUAAUGGUAUUUACGCAGCUAAUCAACGUCAUUGACAGGCGUCCUUAUGUGCAGCCAUCGUUGUUCUCAUAGAUAUGAAUGAGUAGAUAGGACACGCCCCUUUGAGCUGCAUGCUACAGCGAGGCUAAGCUAGUGGGGGCAAAGUUUCAGUGCAUUCCGUUGAUGUCGAGGGCGUGAAAACGGAAACAAGUAUGCCGUCUCACUGUGCUGCAUACAAUUACACACUGCGUCGUACGAUUGAGACAAGGAAACUUGGAAUGACUUUUCAUAUGUAAGAAUAGUUUUUGGCUCUUUUUUCAUUAUGAAAUCUUGUUGAGAGCUUCCAGUCUAUGAGAGCUAACUAGUUAGCCACUAGCAAAACACUAAGGCGAGCUAGCAGCUUGACAAGCAAAUACCAGACGAUUAAUAGUAGCUGUAGUAUAGUUGUACAAGCAGAAGUAGUAAUACUAAAAGUACAAGCAGUAGUAGUAUAAAAUAGCUGUUAGAGUCGUAGAAGUAGUAUCAGCAUUUGUAAUAAUAUUACAAUUUGUAGUAGCAGUGCCAGUAUCAGCAGCAGUAGUUAGUGUACUACUACUACUACUAGUAGUAGUCACAUUACUACCACCAAUACUACCAAUAGUAGUUAUAAAGCCUAACUCAUGUAUAUCCAGAUUACCAUCUAUGUUCUUCCUCCAAACCCAUUUUAUGAUUGGGAUUACAGGCAAUUCUUUAGGAUUGUUCUCAAAUAAUUGAAAUGUUACUAAACAAGGUUAUACUUAUCAAAUUAAAUAGCUCUGGUCUCCAGUAUAUUGGCAAAUUCGGUUCUUUGUACUUAAUUUAUUAGCAUGAUUUCUUUUUAAUAUGUUGUCUACAGACUUAAUU